CCCGUUGUAACUUAGCCCGGUAGAGUGCCCGGCUGUAGUUCUUGUAAUUCGUCUCAACUUUUGGGAUGGGUACUGAUAAUAGUCACCGGGAUGUCGCCGGAUCAAAUCCGGCCAACGGGA
rnacentral:tRNA from 1 species